AAACGACUGCUAAGACUGGAUAGGAAACAAAAAGGCAUCUUUUUGUUUUUAAAAGACCUUCUUAGAAAGGUAUGCUUAAAGAGGGGCUUGCGCCACAUUAGUUAGUUGGUAGAGUAAAAGCCUACCAAGACGAUGAUGUGUAGCUGGACUGAGAGGUUGAACAGCCACAUUGGGACUGAGACACGGCCCAAACUCCUACGGGAGGCAGCAGUAGGGAAUUUUCGGCAAUGGAGGAAACUCUGACCGAGCAACGCCGCGUGAACGAUGAAGUAUUUCGGUAUGUAAAGUUCUUUUAUUGAAGAAGAAAAAGUAGUGGAAAAACUAUAUUGACGUUAUUCAAUGAAUAAGCCCCGGCUAACUAUGUGCCAGCAGCCGCGGUAAGACAUAGGGGGCGAGCGUUAUCCGGAAUUAUUGGGCGUAAAGGGUGCGUAGGCUGUUAGAUAAGUCUAUAAUUUAAUUUCAGUGCUUAACGCUGUCUUGUUAUAGAAACUGUCUUGACUAGAGUGAGAUAGAGGCAAGCGGAAUUCCAUGUGUAGCGGUAAAAUGUGUAAAUAUAUGGAGGAACACCAGAAGCGUAGGCGGCUUGCUGGGUCUUUACUGACGCUGAGGCACGAAAGCGUGGGUAGCAAACAGGAUUAGAUACCCUGGUAGUCCACGCCGUAAACGAUGAGUACUAAGUGUCGGGGUAAAACUCGGUACUGAAGUUAACACAUUAAGUACUCCGCCUGAGUAGUACGUACGCAAGUAUGAAACUUAAAGGAAUUGACGGGACUCCGCACAAGCGGUGGAUCAUGUUGUUUAAUUCGAAGAUACACGAAAAAUCUUACCAGGUCUUGACAUACUCUGCAAAGCUAUAGAAAUAUAGUGGAGGUUAUCAGGAAUACAGGUGGUGCAUGGUUGUCGUCAGUUCGUGUCGUGAGAUGUUAGGUUAAGUCCUAAAACGAGCGCAACCCUUGUCGUUAAUUGCCAGCACGUAAUGGUGGGGACUUUAACAAGACUGCCAAUUAAACAUUGGAGGAAGGUGAGGAUUACGUCAAAUCAUCAUGCCCCUUAUGAUCUGGGCUACAAACGUGAUACAAUGGCUGUGACAAAGAGUAGCUGAAACGCGAGUUUUUAGCCAAUCUCAAAAAAGCAGUCUCAGUUCGGAUUGAAGUCUGUAACUCGACUUCAUGAAGUUGGAAUCGCUAGUAAUCGCGAAUCAGCAUGUCGCGGUGAAUACGUUCUCGGGGUUUGUACACGCCGCCCGUCAAA
rnacentral:rRNA from 1 species